rnacentral:rRNA from 1 species
UAGGGAAUCUUCCGCAAUGGGCGAAAGCUUGACGGAGCAACGCCGCGUGAGUGAUGAAGGUCUUCGGAUCGUAAAACUCUGUUAUUAGGGAAGAACAAAUGUGUAAGUAACUAUGCACGUCUUGACGGUACCUAAUCAGAAAGCCACGGCUAACUACGUGCCAGCAGCCGCGGUAAUACGUAGGUGGCAAGCGUUAUCCGGAAUUAUUGGGCGUAAAGCGCGCGUAGGCGGUUUUUUAAGUCUGAUGUGAAAGCCCACGGCUCAACCGUGGAGAGUCAUUGGAAACUGGAAAACUUGAGUGCAGAAGAGGAAAGUGGAAUUCCAUGUGUAGCGGUGAAAUGCGCAGAGAUAUGGAGGAACACCAGUGGCGAAGGCGACUUUCUGGUCUGUAACUGACGCUGAUGUGCGAAAGCGUGAGGAUCAAACAGG